rnacentral:rRNA from 1 species
CUGGACUAGAAUGCGGUGGAUAAGCCCCAGAGAUGGGGUGAUCCGGGUAACCGGCUCCUGCCUGCAAGGUGCUGCAUGGCUGUCGUCAGCUCGUGUCGUGAGAUGUUGGGUUAAGUCCCGCAACGAGCGCAACCCUUACCGUGAGUUACCAUCAUUUAGUUGGGGACUCUCGCGGAACUGCCGGUGAUAAACCGGAGGAAGGUGGGGAUGACGUCAGGUCCUCAUGGCCUUUAUGUCCAGGGCUACACACGUGCUACAAUGGCCGGUACAAACCGCUGCGAAGUCGCAAGACGGAGCCAAUCGGAAAAAACCGGUCUCAGUUCGGAUUGCAGUCUGCAACUCGACUGCAUGAAGUUGGAAUCGCUAGUAAUCGCGGAUCAGCAUGCCGCGGUGAAUACGUUCCC